rnacentral:rRNA from 1 species
GAUGAACGCUGGCGGCGUGCUUAAUACAUGCAAGUCGAACGAAGUGGCGAACGGGUGAGUAAUACGUGGGUAACCUGCCCAUCUUUUUGGGAUAAGCCUUUGAAACGGGGUCUAAUACCGAAUAAAGGGGGAUGGGCUGGCGGCCUGUCCGCUUGUUGGUGGGGUGCUGGCCGACCAAGGCGGUGACGGUUGGCCGGCCUGAGAGGGUGACCGGGCACAUUGGGACUGGGAAAAGGCCCAGGCGCCUAAGCGGGGGAGCAGUGGGGGAUAUUGCACAAUGGGCGAAAGCGUGAUGCAGCGACGCCGAGUGGGGGAUGAAGGCUUUCGGGUUGUAAACCUCUUGCGCUAUAGAACGGGUAGGUGGAGAAGAAGCGCCGGCUAACUACGUGCCAGCAGCCGCGGUAAUUC